UACGUAGGGGGCAAGCGUUAUCCGGAUUUACUGGGUGUAAAGGGAGCGUAGACGGUCUGGCAAGUCUGAUGUGAAAGGCAGGGGCUCAACUCCUGGACUGCAUUGGAAACUGUCAGUCUUGAGUGUCGGAGAGGUAAGCGGAAUUCCUAGUGUAGCGGUGAAAUGCGUAGAUAUUAGGAGGAACACCAGUGGCGAAGGCGGCUUACUGGACGAUAACUGACGUUGAGGCUCGAAAGCGUGGGGAGCAAACAGG
rnacentral:rRNA from 1 species